rnacentral:rRNA from 1 species
ACGCUGGCGGCAGGCCUAACACAUGCAAGUCGAGCGGUAGCACGGGAGAGCUUGCUCUCUGGGUGACGAGCGGCGGACGGGUGAGUAAUGUCUGGGAAACUGCCUGAUGGAGGGGGAUAACUACUGGAAACGGUAGCUAAUACCGCAUGACCUCGCAAGAGCAAAGUGGGGGACCUUCGGGCCUCACGCCAUCGGAUGUGCCCAGAUGGGAUUAGCUAGUAGGUGGGGUAAUGGCUCACCUAGGCGACGAUCCCUAGCUGGUCUGAGAGGAUGACCAGCCACACUGGAACUGAGACACGGUCCAGACUCCUACGGGAGGCAGCAGUGGGGAAUAUUGCACAAUGGGCGCAAGCCUGAUGCAGCCAUGCCGCGUGUGUGAAGAAGGCCUUAGGGUUGUAAAGCACUUUCAGCGAGGAGGAAGGCGUUGUAGUUAAUAGCUGCAGCGAUUGACGUUACUCGCAGAAGAAGCACCGGCUAACUCCGUGCCAGCAGCCGCGGUAAUACGGAGGGUGCAAGCGCUAAUCGGAAUUACUGGGCGUAAAGCGCACGCAGGCGGUUUGUUAAGUCAGAUGUGAAAUCCCCGAGCUUAACUUGGGAACUGCAUUUGAAACUGGCAAGCUAGAGUCUUGUAGAGGGGGGUAGAAUUCCAGGUGUAGCGGUGAAAUGCGUAGAGAUCUGGAGGAAUACCGGUGGCGAAGGCGGCCCCCUGGACAAAGACUGACGCUCAGGUGCGAAAGCGUGGGGAGCAAAC